CCUACGGGAGGCAGCAGUGGGGAAUAUUGGACAAUGGGGGGAACCCUGAUCCAGCCAUGCCGCGUGUGUGAAGAAGGCCCUCGGGUUGUAAAGCACUUUCAGUGAGGAAGAACGCCUGGUGGUUAAUACCCAUCAGGAAAGACAUCACUCACAGAAGAAGCACCGGCUAACUCCGUGCCAGCAGCCGCGGUAAUACGGAGGGUGCGAGCGUUAAUCGGAAUUACUGGGCGUAAAGCGCGCGUAGGUGGCUUGAUAAGCCGGUUGUGAAAGCCCCGGGCUCAACCUGGGAACGGCAUCCGGAACUGUCAAGCUAGAGUGCAGGAGAGGAAGGUGGAAUUCCCGGUGUAGCGGUGAAAUGCGUAGAGAUCGGGAGGAAUACCAGUGGCGAAGGCGGCCUUCUGGACUGACACUGACACUGAGGUGCGAAAGCGUGGGUAGCAAACAGGAUUAGAUACCCCAGUAGUC
rnacentral:rRNA from 1 species